UACAGAGGGUGCGAGCGUUAAUCGGAGUUACUGGGCGUAAAGGGUGCGUAGGCGGCUUUUUAAGUUUGGUGUGAAAUCUCCCGGCUCAACUGGGAGGGUGCGCCGAAUACUGAGAGGCUAGAGUGUGGGAGAGGAAAGUGGAAUUCCUGGUGUAGCGGUGAAAUGCGUAGAUAUCAGGAGGAACACCGGUGGUGUAAACGGCUUUCUGGACCAUAACUGACGCUGAGGCACGAAAGCGUGGGUAGCAAACAGG
rnacentral:rRNA from 1 species